rnacentral:tRNA from 1 species
GGAGAGGUACUCAAGAGGCCGAAGAGGACGGUUUGCUAAACCGUUAGCAGGGGUAACCCUGGCAUGGGUUCGAAUCCCAUCCUCUCCG